rnacentral:rRNA from 1 species
GUAGGUGGCAAGCGUUGUCCGGAAUUAUUGGGCGUAAAGCGCGCGCAGGCGGUUCUUUAAGUCUGAUGUGAAAGCCCACGGGCUCAACCGUGGAGGGUCAUUGGAAACUGGAGAACUUGAGUACAGAAGAGGAAAGCGGAAUUCCACGUGUAGCGGUGAAAUGCGUAGAGGUGUGGAGGAACACCAGUGGCGAAGGCGGCUUUCUGGUCUGUAACUGACGCUGAGGCGCGAAAGCGUGGGGAGCAAACAGGAUUAGAUGCCCUGGUAGUCCACGCCGUAAACGAUGAGUGCUAAGUGUUAGGGGGUUUCCGCCCCUUAGUGCUGCAGCUAACGCAUUAAGCACUCCGCCUGGGGAGUACGGCCGCAAGGCUG